ACCUUUAAGAAGCUUUCCGUCACCCAACUUUCAUUUUCAUAAGAAGCUCUGGUCGUUUGUUGCUGGAUGAGCUCACUGCAUUCAUCAUGUCGGGGGCGGCGACUUCGACAGCUAUUUCAGUCACCGCAACAGAAGCAUUGUCAAAUGUUGUUUUGCUAAAACUCCAACCACAUUUUUUUUACUCCACAGCCAUUUUCUAUGGAGCUGCAGAUGUUGCUAAAGAGCUCCCAGAUGCGCCGUUUGAGGUAAAAUGCAUUUCAGAUGCCGCUGGUUACAAUCCAGGCUGAAUAUAGAAGGAUGAUCCACCGCGGCAGUAAGAUGACAGGAGAUCAACUUGAAGUACGACCCGAAGGCAGUGUGAGGUUUUAGUGGCGCUUUUGACUGACUCACAGAGCGGAACGGAUGACACAUGUAGCACAGAAGCCUUUUCACUUUUAUUCAAAUGAAAAAAUUCAAACAAGGACUACAAGAUUAUUUUCAACUUUUGUAUUUCUUGCCUGCAAAAACACAAAAUGUUUCUCCGUCACCACAUUUUUCCACGGACGUGCGAUCCUAUUGGCCGUGACUUUCGGAACCGAGUGACCGUGUCUCAGGCCAAGUCUGGGUCGGGCCUACACGCAGACCUGAACGCGAGCUGUUGACAUUGGCCACGUCCGAGAGUUUCCUCCCAAUGUAGGACACGAGAGUGCAGACAGAAAUGGGACAAAAAUGUCACAGGAAGGGGAAGCCUUCGGAAUUAUCAUAUGGUACUGUUAUUAUUAUUUUUUUCUUUGUCCUGUCGUAUAUAAUUCCCGGAGUCCCUGUGGCCCGAUGACAUCAGGUGCCCAGGUGUUUCCUCAUUUGGUGUUUCACCUAAAAAAAAAAAACGGUCGCACUAACAAUAAUAAAGA